UACGAAGGGGGCGAGCGUUUGUUCGGAUUUACUGGGCGUAAAGGGCGCGCAGGCGGCUCAUUUUGUCAGGCGUGAAAGCCCCGGGCUUAACCUGGGAACUGCGUUUGAUACGGGUGGGCUAGAGUUCGGGAGAGGAGAGUGGAAUUCCCAGUGUAGAGGUGAAAUUCGUAGAUAUUGGGAAGAACACCGGUGGCGAAGGCGGCUCUCUGGACCGAUACUGACGCUGAGGCGCGAAAGCGUGGGGAGCAAACAGG
rnacentral:rRNA from 1 species